rnacentral:rRNA from 1 species
AUUGCCUCAGUAACGGCGAGUGAAGCGGCAAGAGCUCAAAUUUGAAAGCUGGCUCCUUCGGGGUCCGCAUUGUAAUUUGCAGAGGAUGCUUCGGGAGCGGCCCCCAUCUAAGUGCCCUGGAACGGGCCGUCAUAGAGGGUGAGAAUCCCGUAUGGGAUGGGGUGCCCGCGACCAUGUGAAGCUCCUUCGACGAGUCGAGUUGUUUGGGAAUGCAGCUCUAAAUGGGUGGUAAAUUUCAUCUAAAGCUAAAUAUUGGCCGGAGACCGAUAGCGCACAAGUAGAGUGAUCGAAAGAUGAAAAGCACUUUGAAAAGAGAGUUAAAAAGCACGUGAAAUUGUUGAAAGGGAAGCGCUUGCGACCAGACUCGCCCGCGGGGUUCAGCCGGUAUUCGUACCGGUGUACUUCCCCGCGGGCGGGCCAGCGUCGGUUUGGGCGGCCGGUCAAAGGCCCUCGGAAUGUAACGCCUCUCGGGGCGUCUUAUAGCCGAGGGUGCCAUGCGGCCAGCCCGGACCGAGGAACGCGCUUCGGCACGGACGCUGGCAUAAU